rnacentral:rRNA from 1 species
GCUUGCUACUUUGCCGGCGAGCGGCGGACGGGUGAGUAAUGUCUGGGAAACUGCCUGAUGGAGGGGGAUAACUACUGGAAACGGUAGCUAAUACCGCAUAACGUCGCAAGACCAAAGAGGGGGACCUUCGGGCCUCUUGCCAUCAGAUGUGCCCAGAUGGGAUUAGCUAGUAGGUGGGGUAACGGCUCACCUAGGCGACGAUCCCUAGCUGGUCUGAGAGGAUGACCAGCCACACUGGAACUGAGACACGGUCCAGACUCCUACGGGAGGCAGCAGUGGGGAAUAUUGCACAAUGGGCGCAAGCCUGAUGCAGCCAUGCCGCGUGUAUGAAGAAGGCCUUCGGGUUGUAAAGUACUUUCAGCGGGGAGGAAGGCGAUAAGGUUAAUAACCUUGUCGAUUGACGUUACCCGCAGAAGAAGCACCGGCUAACUCCGUGCCAGCAGCCGCGGUAAUACGGAGGGUGCAAGCGUUAAUCGGAAUUACUGGGCGUAAAGCGCACGCAGGCGGUCUGUCAAGUCGGAUGUGAAAUCCCCGGGCUCAACCUGGGAACUGCAUUCGAAACUGGCAGGCUAGAGUCUUGUAGAGGGGGGUAGAAUUCCAGGUGUAGCGGUGAAAUGCGUAGAGAUCUGGAGGAAUACCGGUGGCGAAGGCGGCCCCCUGGACAAAGACUGACGCUCAGGUGCGAAAGCGUGGGGAGCAAACAGGAU